rnacentral:rRNA from 1 species
ACGCUCGACACCUACGGGAGGGAGCAGUGAGGAAUAUUGGUCAAUGGGCGCUAGCCUGAACCAGCCAAGUAGCGUGAAGGAUGAAGGCUCUAUGGGUCGUAAACUUCUUUUAUAUAAGAAUAAAGUGCAGUAUGUAUACUGUUUUGUAUGUAUUAUAUGAAUAAGGAUCGGCUAACUCCGUGCCAGCAGCCGUGGUAAUCUGAGCGGGCUGGCAAGGC